rnacentral:rRNA from 1 species
UACGAAGGGGGCUAGCGUUGCUCGGAAUCACUGGGCGUAAAGCGCACGUAGGCGGGUUGUUAAGUCAGAGGUGAAAUCCUGGAGCUCAACUCCAGAACUGCCUUUGAUACUGGCGACCUUGAGUUCGAGGAGAGGUUGGUGGAACUGCGAGUGUAGAGGUGAAAUUCGUAGAUAUUCGCAAGAACACCAGUGGCGAAGGCGGCCAACUGGCUCGAUACUGACGCUGAGGUGCGAAAGCGUGGGGAGC